rnacentral:rRNA from 2 species
UGGGGAAUAUUGCACAAUGGGCGCAAGCCUGAUGCAGCCAUGCCGCGUGUAUGAAGAAGGCCUUCGGGUUGUAAAGUACUUUCAGCGGGGAGGAAGGGAGUAAAGUUAAUACCUUUGCUCAUUGACGUUACCCGCAGAAGAAGCACCGGCUAACUCCGUGCCAGCAGCCGCGGUAAUACGGAGGGUGCAAGCGUUAAUCGGAAUUACUGGGCGUAAAGCGCACGCAGGCGGUUUGUUAAGUCAGAUGUGAAAUCCCCGGGCUCAACCUGGGAACUGCAUCUGAUACUGGCAAGCUUGAGUCUCGUAGAGGGGGGUAGAAUUCCAGGUGUAGCGGUGAAAUGCGUAGAGAUCUGGAGGAAUACCGGUGGCGAAGGCGGCCCCCUGGACGAAGACUGACGCUCAGGUGCGGAAGCGUGGGGAGCAAACAGG